rnacentral:rRNA from 1 species
GCAUAACGCGAAGAACCUUACCUGGGCUUGACAUGCAUCUCUAAGCGCGUGAAAGCGCGUGACCCUUCGGGGGAUUUGCACAGGUGCUGCAUGGCCGUCGUCAGCUCGUGUCGUGAGAUGUUGGGUUAAGUCCCGCAACGAGCGCAACCCUCAUGUUCUGUUGCCCUUCGGGGAUCUCUGAACAGACUGCCCAGGUCAACUGGGAGGAAGGUGGGGAUGACGUCAAGUCCGUAUGGCCCUUACACCCAGGGCUGCACACGUACUACAAUGCCCAGCACAAAUGGAACCGACACCGCGAGGUGAAGGAAAUCGAAAAAACUGGGCUCAGUUCGGAUCGUAGGCUGCAAUUCGCCUACGUGAAGUUGGAAUCGCUAGUAAUGGCGCAUCAGCUACGGCGCCGUGAAUACGUUCCCGGGUCUUGUACACACCG